UAUAAACCUGCCCUGAACAAUG
rnacentral:piRNA from 1 species